GUACCCAACUGCUCGCCAGGGAACUACAAGUCCCAACUUAAAACCCAAAGGACUUGGCGGUGCUUUAAACCCCCCUAGAGGAGCCUGUUCUGGAAUCGAUAAUCCCCGAUCAACCUCACCCCCUCUUGUUCCUUCCCGCCUAUAUACCGCCGUCGUCAGCCAACCCUGUGAAGGGCCUAUAGUAGGCAAAAUCGGUAUAACCCAGUACGUCAGGUCAAGGUGUAGCGUAUGAGGGGGGAAAAAAUGGGCUACAUUUGCUGCCCCAGCAAACACGGAUGCUAUUCUGAAAGGGAUGGCUGAAGGUGGAUUUAGCAGUAAGACUGGGAGUAGAGUGCCUGCCUGAAGCUGGCCCUAAAGCGCGCACACACCGCCCGUCACUCUCCCCAACGGUAAACUAACGUGUACCUAAAAAUAAUCCCCGACAAGGGGAGGCAAGUCGUAACAUGGUAAGCGUACCGGAAGGUGCGCUUGGUUUAACCC
rnacentral:rRNA from 1 species